rnacentral:misc_RNA from 1 species
CCGAGUUUACAACUCCCAAACCCCUGUGAACAUACCUAUACGUUGCCUCGGCGGAUCAGCCCGCGCCCCGUAACAAGGGACGGCCCGCCCGAGGACCCCUAAACUCUGUUUUUAGUGGAACUUCUGAGUAAAACAAACAAAUAAAUCAAAACUUUCAACAACGGAUCUCUUGGUUCUGGCAUCGAUGAAGAACGCAGCAAAAUGCGAUAAGUAAUGUGAAUUGCAGAAUUCAGUGAAUCAUCGAAUCUUUGAACGCACAUUGCGCCCGCCAGUAUUCUGGCGGGCAUGCCUGUUCGAGCGUCAUUUCAACCCUCAAGCUCAGCUUGGUGUUGGGACUCGCGGUAACCCGCGUUCCCCAAAUCGAUUGGCGGUCACGUCGAGCUUCCAUAGCGUAGUAAUCAUACACCUCGUUACUGGUAAUCGUCGCGGCCACGCCGUAAAACCCCAACUUCUGAAU